rnacentral:lncRNA from 1 species
AUACAUACAUGCUCCUUGUGAGUAUAUGCACAGAGAUAUAUAUGCUCAUGUAUGCGCGAAUGUCACAUGCUUCAGGCUGUACCUCAUUGUCCCUCUUUAUUUCUCAGAGACCUUACAAAUAGUUUGCCAGUAAUUGUGUGGAGUCUGAGAACGCAGCAAGUCACCAGCCCUGAGCCAGCUCCAGCCUUGCUUCCAAAUACAGUCUGAGUGCAAAGAAUAAAACUUGUAUUUAUCAAUGGUUAAGAACAGAUCACAAAGUAAUACUAGUGACACGUGACACUUAUAUUUGUGGGAUUUGAUUGGGUCAGAGCUAAACCUACCACUUAGUACCUCUGGCUGCAUUGGCAUCAACAGCAGAGUCCAGCAGGCCUCCAAGUCCACCUGGCUAGCCGAGACGAGGCCUGCCUCACCCUUAGGAAAUGUGUUUGCUAACCUUCUUAAAAGAGUCAAAUAUUAAAUACUACAAAAAUCCACCUCAACCAAACAAGAGCCCCUCGUGGUUGAAAAGCACUGGAUCCUCUCAUGCGACCUCCUCAGAGAGAAGUUAGGAAAGAGAACGAUCUAUCUCAAAUUUUAUCUUCUGCACACCAAGCGUGGUGGCACAUGCGUGGAAAUCCCAGGACUUGGGAGGCAGUGCUCAGGAGGAUCAGACAUGCAGAGUUAUCCUCAGUUACAUAGCAAGUGCCGUGGGCUACAUGAAAUCCUGCCUCAAUAAAAAGUCUCUAAUAGUUUUUUUUUUUUUUAAUAGCUUCGUAACAUGUCAGGGAAAGGCAAGUAAGAAGCUAGAAAGUUGUAGAGAGUGUCAUAUGAAUCUUAGAGAUUUAUUUUUGUUUUUUAAUUUGUGGUAUGUGUGUGUGUGCGUGUGUGUGUCCACAGAGUCCAAAAAAAUGUCAGAUCCACCUGGAUCUGGUGUUACAGAUGGUUGUGAGCUGCCAUGUGGGUGCUGGGACCUGAACUCUGGCCCUCUGCAAGAGCGGCAAAAGUAUUUAAGCACUGAGUCAUGCCCAGCCCUAUCAUGUGAAUCGUAAUUGCUCUGGUUGACAGCGUGCCUUCUGUAGUAACACAGGAUAGAAAGCCUACUGAGAUUUGACGGUUCAUGGGAUGCAUAGGAGCUCUGAAUACCCCAAGUGUGCUAAGGAUCGAAGUAUCCACCCAUGUCAGCAUCAGUCAGUGCUUCAUGUACAAGGUUUGCUUUCUGUGACACUCAGGGUUUAUAGACAUCCACUACUGAAGCUUGCUGCUAAGAUAGGAAAGUCACAAGUUGCCACGUCUUACAAAGACAAAGCUAUAUAUACACUGCCAAUAGUGCUUCCUAUGGCUGUGAGUGUUGCAGCUAAGACAACAGAAAGAUUUGUUUGCUGAGAGGACAAUCUUCACAGGCUGACUUGAAAUGUGUUUUAUAGUUAGGGAUGGCUUUGAACUCCUGAUUUUCUAGCCUCCACCUUCUGAGUAUUGGGGUGCCAGAUAUAUACCAAUACAUUUAUCUUUUUGGGUUCUGGGGAUCAAACCCAGGACCUAUGCAUGCUAGGCAAGCACCCUAUCACCUGAUCUACAUGCCCAGUUCCAGCAUAUCUAUAAAACAUAAAUCCAUGUGUCUCACACUUUGAUCUAGACUUGUGCCUAGGCUUUGUGUGACAUUUGACUGACUGCCUUUAUAUGGCAUAGUGUCUCUCUCUCUCUUAGUCUUACCUACCACUGUAUGAACAGCCUUGCCAAUCAACUGAUUAAACGUUCUAUUGUCUAGAAGCAGAACCCAUUUCUUGCAGUGUGUCUCCCCCUCUUCUACACAGGGUUGGGAAAUGAUCACUGUUGUCUUGGGUUCAAUAUAAGAUUUCCUUCUUUUGUCCAAGCUGGUCUUACAUUCACCAACUCUCUGCUGCCUCUGCCUCCCCAGUGCUGGGCUUGAAGGCUUCUGCCAAUACACCCAGCAGGCCACCAGCUUUCUGACUCUUCAAAUCUGUCCCUUCACACCUGUGCCAUCAGCUAAAUAGUUCCCUUGAAAGUCAGCUGACCUUGCCUGCAUCUUGAUUGGAGAACAACAGGGAACGGACACACAUGUCAAUUUUCAAAGUCCAUGAUGGGAAAGAAACUUCACUGUGCAGCUAGGAAAGCAGGAAGUGAGGUGCACAGAGGGUGUUCCCUCAUAUCUCACAGUUACUUGGAACAAAGUUGGGAGAACAUGCUGUUUUGGCCACAUGCAUGGCCUUUCCUUUUUGGUGACUUUGGAUUUAUUGUAUAAACACUAAAGAUCUCUGAGCUUGGUGGGGGAAAAAAUUAAAGAAAUCCCACACUUGAAUUUUGCUACAAAGGAGACGUGUUUCCACAAACACACAGGAAAUGCAUUGCAUGACUUGAUGGUCCUGCUCCAUCAGUGUCUUUGAAAUUAUCACUGAAGGGUUGGUGGGUGAACAUGAUAACUUUAAUUGUUCAGAGAAGAGACAGAAAUGUCUGAUGUCCAUCUUCCGUAACAACAUCAGGAUCUGAAAAGCCAUCAAUUUACUAUCAAAUAAUUUUCUCAGUGGAACGAUUCCCUGGUGAAUUACCACCUGAACGGAGUAGAAUGCUUAGUAAACUGGUGCUUGUCACCAUCUUGGUUUGUUUCUGUUGGGAAUCUAAGGAGGACAGGGGGCAAGGGGCAGAUCUAUGAGCAGUCCUCUACCCAGGCACUUUGAGUCCAGCAUUUCUUAGGAACAUUUUUUAAACUAUCUGAUAUUGUCACAUCGUCUUCUUGCUUAGAGCCACACACACACCCCCACUGACCUCCUAACUCACAAGACUAGAAUGUUCUGAGAAUGAAUUUUGUCUAUCUUAUAUGCCAUUGUAGCACCUGCAUAAAGGGGAUAAAGGGUGCUCUCUGUCACAUGUGAGUGUGUGGCUACAUUGACUGGGGUGUGAAGAGUUAAUUCAUAGAGUUGGGACUGGGGAAAGGCCCGAAUUCCUGACCUAUAAAAUAAUGCUUUGAGAGCUGGCCUGUGAUUCUGUCCUGUCCACCCUGCCUCUGCUUCCACGGGGCCUCAUUGUGUGCCACCUUUUAAAAUUACUGUAUAUUUGUUUCAUCGUUUUCUCUCAUUGAUACGUAAGGGACCACAUCUUAUUCUGUGUAUAUGACCCAGGGACCAGACAUAGGACCAGCACAGGGUGUAACUGGGGUUUGGAGAGGGAGGGUCACAUGACCAAUGUGUGAGUAGUGCCUGGUUAGCCAAGUGCCUGGAAAUCAGGAUAUGAGUUUAACUCAAGAACUUCCUAGUAUCUGCUCUUGUGCUCUUGGUCACUCUUUGAGGUACACUGAUACUGCUAUCCACCAUAGGUGUGAAAUAAACCAGGUAAAUGUUCCAUUCUCCAGAAACAAAAACCUCCCCUUUCUAUGUAUUCACACUUAUAGAGUCUGCAAAUGCUAGAGGCAGGCGCAGGCCAGCUGCUUCUUAUUUCUCUAUUUCCUUAUUUAUUUUUUAGAACAGGGUCUCGAAGUGUAGCCCAGGCUGACAUCAUACUCACAAUCUUUUUCUCUCUAGUUCUUGAGUUCCGGGCUAGUUAGUACUGUUUUAUAGAGUGAGCACGUGCUCCCUUCUUGAGAGAGUGCGUAAUGACAGCUAAGUAUCCUUUGACGCUUGUUUUUGGGUCAUAUGUACUUAGAGGAAUACAACUUCUGACAAACCGGGUCCUCUCUUUGUAGAUACAAAUGAAUCUCGCUUGCGUAAACUACUUCUGUUCUGUAGAGAUAGAAAAUCCCAGGCAAGUCAUUUCUUCAUGGUACAUUUUGCAAGGGAGAAACUCUACUUUGAUUAACUCAGUGGCAACCUAGAUCAGGUGGGGACAAUUAUUUUGAUAAUUUACAUUUUCUUAAGCUUAAGCCUUAAAACAUGGAUCUGUAUUUUAUUUCAUGGAACUUAAGGAGAGUAAACUGACGUGUAAAAAUUGCCCCAUAUAUGCUGGGUGUGUUCAAGUCCCUGAAUAGAGUAUAGGUUGUAAACUUGAACUUUUUAAGUAAAUUAAAAACUACCAUCUCUAGCUGUUCAGACCCAGCAGCUACCUAUGUGUUCAGACAGCAGCUGAUGAGUUCAGGUUAGGAUGUCUGCUUAAAUAGACCAUCCCUAGAUAGCUUCUUUUAUUUAAAACAUCCAGUGACUUCUGUCACCUAAAUGGAGAGCAUUCAGGAGUAGUGAGCUGGUAUCUUUGAAGUCUUCUGGUCUGCUUCCUCCUCCUGUGGGAACCCAGAGAAGAAAAGGCUGUCAGAUUGGUUCUGUUUGCGUACCACCCCUCUCGCCCGCUAAGCAUUCAUUGCUCUGCCUGGUACUACCAGUGACCUCUUUCAAGUGGGCAGACACCAGGGGUGUGGCUUCGGGGCCUUCCUCCUGCAUUUAAGAUCCCCCAUCCCCGUGCUGGCCUGUGUGUCUGUGAUGGGAAGAUGAUAGGGGAAGUCAUCCCCUGUGUAUCUGUCCUCAUCUGCCUGUGUGAGGUCACUGAGGCAGCUGGCGUGCUUGGGACAGCUGGCUCUCUCUGCAGUGCUGAGGUCAGCCCCAGUGAGUUGAAUGGACUGUCUUCUCAAGGGAUGGAGGGUAGAGCCAGGGCAAAGACAGAUGGUACCAAGGCCAGUGCUGGUGGGCCACAGGUGUCGCUCCCCAGGAGGAACACAGCCAGGGAGUCCUUCAGAGAUACCCUGCCUUGCCUCUCACACCCUUUAAAAAGCACAUCGCCUGUUUCAUUUGCAGAUGAAGAGUGAGCGUGGCUGAGUUUGGAAUUUGCCAGGGUGGGUCCUCACUGCUUGCUUUCUUGUUUCUCCACAUCAUUCUCUAUUUAGAAUGCCAAACUUAAUGAAAUAAAAAUGGGUCCAUUUUUCUUUGUGAGGGAACAAUAUUUUAACUUUGUUAGGAUGAGCUCACACUAUUUAUGAAUAACAGGGAUAUAGACUCAUCAGGAAUACUGUUCACGCCAUCUGAGCAGACAGAUCACUACUGACAACCUGAAGUCAAGCUGGCAGUACCAAUUGAAUCUAGUCUCCAUUACCCUAUAGUAUAUGUAUAGAGAACUGUAUCGAUUCUAUACGCUCCCCAGCUUCUAUACCUCCACUGCACAAUAUCUCUUUGAAGGUCAGUUCUGGGAGGAAUCGGAGAUGUGUUUAUGAUCAAAAUACAUUGUACGAAAUUCUC